rnacentral:rRNA from 1 species
AUACGUAGGUGACAAGCGUUAUCCGGAUUUACUGGGCGUAAAGGGCGUGUAGGCGGUCUUGCAAGUCAGAAGUGAAAUUCCUGAGCUCAACUCGGGCGCUGCUUCUGAAACUGCAGGACUUGAGUGCUGGAGGGGAUAGCGGAAUUCCUAGUGGAGCGGUAAAAUGCGCAGAUAUUAGGAAGAACACCGGUGGCGAAGGCGGAUAGCUGUACAGUAACUGAGCCUGAGACGCGAAAGCGUGGGUAGCAAACAGGAUGUGAUACCCGGUAAGUCCACGCCGUAAACGAUGAAUACUAGGUGUAGGGGGUAUCGACUCCCUCUGUGCCGCAGUUAACACAAUAAGUAUUCCGCCUGGGGAGUACGGCCGCAAGGUUGAAACUCAAAGGAAUUGACGGGG